rnacentral:rRNA from 1 species
GGAGAGGACCAACACGGAACUAGAGAUAGAGUUUUCCCCUUCGGGGGACAGAGUGACAGGUGGUGCAUGGUUGUCGUCAGCUCGUGUCGUGAGAUGUUGGGUUAAGUCCCGCAACGAGCGCAACCCUUAAGCUUAGUUGCCAUCAUUAAGUUGGGCACUCUAAGUUGACUGCCGGUGACAAACCGGAGGAAGGUGGGGAUGACGUCAAAUCAUCAUGCCCCUUAUGAUUUGGGCUACACACGUGCUACAAUGGACAAUACAAAGGGCAGCGAAACCGCGAGGUCAAGCAAAUCCCAUAAAGUUGUUCUCAGUUCGGAUUGUAGUCUGCAACUCGACUAUAUGAAGCUGGAAUCGCUAGUAAUCGUAGAUCAGCAUGCUACGGUGAAUACGUUCCCGGGUCUUGUACACACCGAG